GCAAGCCAAAAUGAAGACGACUAGGAGUGGCUCAGCUGCACAGAAUAAACUCUCGAAGGAUUCGCCAUUGUGUUGUUCAGACUAUUUACCCCAACAAGCAGGUGGCUGGGGUUCUGUCGGAGCCCAUGAUCUACAGCUGCGCUCAAACUA